rnacentral:rRNA from 1 species
GAUGAACGCUGGCGGCGUGCCUAAUACAUGCAAGUCGAGCGAACAGACGAGGAGCUUGCUCCUCUGACGUUAGCGGCGGACGGGUGAGUAACACGUGGAUAACCUACCUAUAAGACUGGGAUAACUUCGGGAAACCGGAGCUAAUACCGGAUAAUAUAUUGAACCGCAUGGUUCAAUAGUGAAAGACGGUUUUGCUGUCACUUAUAGAUGGAUCCGCGCCGCAUUAGCUAGUUGGUAAGGUAACGGCUUACCAAGGCAACGAUGCGUAGCCGACCUGAGAGGGUGAUCGGCAACACUGGAACUGAGCCACGGUCCAGACUCCUACGGGAGGCAGCAGUAGGGAAUCUUCCGCAAUGGGCGAAAGCCUGACGGAGCAACGCCGCGUGAGUGAUGAAGGUCUUCGGAUCGUAAAACUCUGUUAUUAGGGAAGAACAAAUGUGUAAGUAACUAUGCACGUCUUGACGGUACCUAAUCAGAAAGCCACGGCUAACUACGUG